rnacentral:rRNA from 1 species
UACGUAGGGUGCGAGCGUUAAUCGGAAUUACUGGGCGUAAAGAGUGCGUAGGCGGUUCGUUAUGUCUGCUGUGAAAGCCCCGGGCUUAACCCGGGAAUGGCAGUGGAAACUGGCGGGCUUGAGUGUGGCAGAGGGGGGUGGAAUUCCGCGUGUAGCAGUGAAAUGCGUAGAGAUGCGGAGGAACACCGAUGGCCGAAGGCAGCCCCUGGGCUAACACUGACGCUGAGGCACGAAAAGCGUGGGGAGCAAACAGG